GUACUGAUACACGGACCAGAUACCUACGGGUAGCAGCAGCAAGGAAUAUUGCGCAAUGGGCGAAAGCCUGACGCAGCAACACCGCGUGAAGGACGAAGGCUCUCGGGUCGUAAACUUCUUUUCUGGGGGAUGAGAAAGGACAGUACCCCAGGAAUAAGCCUCGGCUAACUACGUGCCAGCAGCCGCGGUAAAACGUAGGAGGCGAGCGUUAUCCGGAUUUAUUGGGCGUAAAGCGCAUGCAGGCGGUUUUUUAAGUCAGACGUGAAAGCUCCCGGCUCAACUGGGAGAGGUCGUUUGAGACUGGAAAACUUGAGGAUGAUAGAGGAGAGUGGAAUUCCCGGUGUAGUGGUGAAAUGCGUAGAUAUCGGGAGGAACACCAGUGGCGAAGGCGGCUCUCUGGGUCAUUCCUGACGCUAAGAUGCGAAAGCUAGGGGAGAGAACGGGAUUAGAAACCCCGGUAUUCCUAGCCGUAAACGAUGUCAACUAGGCGUAGAGGGUAUCCAAUCCUUCUGUGCUGCAGCUAACGCGAUAAGUUGACCGCCUGGGGACUACGGCCGCAAGGCUAAAACUCAAAUGAAUUGACGGGG
rnacentral:rRNA from 1 species